AUUCAUUUAACUGAUAUGUGGUGAUUUUCUUCUUCCUUGCUCCAUCAGCCCAAGAACUUGAAGAAUGAAUGGAAUGAAUAUCAUGGAUCACUAGUGUUUUUCCAUUCUGAAAAUUGAGCAGGUACAGAAGGUGGGACCUUCCCCACUGCUACACGUGUAUUUCCAAGAUCUCAGUAACAUGCCAUGCCCAUGGGGAUAGAGAAGAGGUUUGAAUGAUGAAGUCGCUCAGAAUUGUUACUGUUUUGAUUCCCAUCUGAACAUUGCUGGUGAAAAACUACAUCUUCCUGACAAAAAAUUAGCUGCUCCCUGAAACCACUGGCUUUGAGUUCAAUUCCACUUUUUUGAGACUUCUGACCAGUUUUCUGCUCUGCAUCAGAGAAACCAACAUCCCUUACCUAUUCCUCAAAUAACCAAUGGCUUGUUGGAAUAAAGUUCUUAUGAAGGAGACCCGUGUUGAAUUCCCUGUUCUGCUGCUCUCUCAUGUCCUGAAAAUUCUGCAGAUGGAAAAUCACAUAUAUGCCUGUAACCCUCCAGAGGAGAAAGAGUGAUUCAAAGGCCCUUCUCAGACUAUGAAGAGGAGAAGGAGAACCAGACUUCAGGU
rnacentral:lncRNA from 1 species